rnacentral:tRNA from 1 species
GCCCACAUAGCUUAGUCGGUAGAGCAUCAGACUUUUAAUCUGAGGGUUGCGGGUUCAAGUCUCUCUGUGGGCA